rnacentral:rRNA from 1 species
AGCGUACACGGUGGAUGCCCUGGCAGUCAGAGGCGAUGAAGGACGUGCUAAUCUGCGAAAAGCGCCGGUAAGGUGAUAUGAACCGUUAUAACCGGCGAUGUCCGAAUGGGGAAACCCGGUGCACUUCGGUGCAUCAUCGUUAGCUGAAUACAUAGGCUAACGAAGCGAACCGGGGGAACUGAAACAUCUAAGUACCCCGAGGAAAAGAAAUCAACCGAGAUUCCCCCAGUAGCGGCGAGCGAACGGGGAACAGCCCAGAGCCUGAAUCAGCUUGUGUGUCAGUGGAACGGUCUGGAAAGGCCGGCGAUACAGGGUGACAGCCCCGUACACGAAGGCACACAGGCUGUGAGCUCGAUGAGUAGGGCGGGACACGUGAUAUCCUGUCUGAAGAUGGGGGGACCAUCCUCCAAGGCUAAAUACUCCUGACUGACCGAUAGUGAACCAGUACCGUGAGGGAAAGGCGAAAAGAACCCCGGCGAGGGGAGUGAAACAGAACCUGAAACCGUGUACGUACAAGCAGUGGGAGCCUUCGUAAGAGGGUGACUGCGUACCUUUUGUAUAAUGGGUCAGCGACUUAUAUUCUGUAGCAAGGUUAACCGUAUAGGGGAGCCGAAGGGAAACCGAGUCUUAAUUGGGCGUUAAGUUGCAGGGUAUAGACCCGAAACCCGGUGAUCUAGCCAUGGGCAGGUUGAAGGUUGGGUAACACUAACUGGAGGACCGAACCGACUAAUGUUGAAAAAUUAGCGGAUGACCUGUGGCUGGGGGUGAAAGGCCAAUCAAACCGGGAGAUAGCUGGUUCUCCCCGAAAGCUAUUUAGGUAGCGCCUCGUGAACUCAUCUCCGGGGGUAGAGCACUGUUUCGGCUAGGGGGCCAUCCCGGCUUACCAACCCGAUGCAAACUGCGAAUACCGGAGAAUGUUAUCACGGGAGACACACGGCGGGUGCUAACGUCCGUCGUGAAGAGGGAAACAACCCAGACCGCCAGCUAAGGUCCCAAAGUCAUGGUUAAGUGGGAAACGAUGUGGGAAGGCCCAGACAGCCAGGAUGUUGGCUUAGAAGCAGCCAUCAUUUAAAGAAAGCGUAAUAGCUCACUGGUCGAGUCGGCCUGCGCGGAAGAUGUAACGGGGCUAAACCAUGCACCGAAGCUGCGGCAGCGACGCUUAGGCGUUGUUGGGUAGGGGAGCGUUCUGUAAGCCUGUGAAGGUGUGCUGUGAGGCAUGCUGGAGGUAUCAGAAGUGCGAAUGCUGACAUAAGUAACGAUAAAGCGGGUGAAAAGCCCGCUCGCCGGAAGACCAAGGGUUCCUGUCCAACGUUAAUCGGGGCAGGGUGAGUCGACCCCUAAGGCGAGGCCGAAAGGCGUAGUCGAUGGGAAACAGGUUAAUAUUCCUGUACUUGGUGUUACUGCGAAGGGGGGACGGAGAAGGCUAUGUCAGCCGGGCGACGGUCGUCCCGGUUUAAGCGUGUAGGCUGACCUUCCAGGCAAAUCCGGAAGGUUAAGGCUGAGGCGUGAUGACGAGGCACCACGGUGCUGAAGUGACAAAUGCCCUGCUUCCAGGAAAAGCCUCUAAGCAUCAGGUAACAUUAAAUCGUACCCCAAACCGACACAGGUGGUCAGGUAGAGAAUACCAAGGCGCUUGAGAGAACUCGGGUGAAGGAACUAGGCAAAAUGGUGCCGUAACUUCGGGAGAAGGCACGCUGACAUGUAGGUGAAGCCCCUGCGGGUGGAGCUGAAGUCAGUCGAAGAUACCAGCUGGCUGCAACUGUUUAUUAAAAACACAGCACUGUGCAAACACGAAAGUGGACGUAUACGGUGUGACGCCUGCCCGGUGCCGGAAGGUUAAUUGAUGGGGUUAUCGCAAGAGAAGCUCCUGAUCGAAGCCCCGGUAAACGGCGGCCGUAACUAUAACGGUCCUAAGGUAGCGAAAUUCCUUGUCGGGUAAGUUCCGACCUGCACGAAUGGCGUAAUGAU